ACAUACGGCCACAGCCGCCAGUAGAACUCACGAUCCCGUCUGAUCUCGUAUGAUAACCUGGCGAGCGCUGGAUUAGUAGUUGGGUCGGUGACGACCAGCGAAUACCUAGUGUUGUAUGUG
rnacentral:rRNA from 1 species